UACGGGGGGGGCAAGCGUUGUUCGGAAUUACUGGGCGUAAAGGGCUCGUAGGCGGCCAACUAAGUCGGAUGUGAAAUCCCCAGGCUCAACCUGGGAACUGCAUCCGAUACUGGAUGGCUUGAAUUCGGGAGAGGGAUGCAGAAUUCCAGGUGUAGCGGUGAAAUGCGUAGAUAUCUGGAGGAACACCGGUGGCGAAGGCGCCACUCUGGGCCGGUACUGACGCUGAGGAGCGAAAGCGUGGGUAGCAAACAGG
rnacentral:rRNA from 1 species